UAACAAAAAUAUUUUAAAAAAUAACUCAAAAAUUGUAACGGAAAGUUGAUUCCUCGUAUAGUAAUGAUGUCGUUUGAAGGGGAACAAAAGGGAUAGAACUUUUGUGAGUAGAAUCCUGUGGGAAGAGUAAAAAGUUAUUAGUGUAAAAGUGGAAUUCCACGUUGUCUACUUCACAUGAAGCAUAUGGGAAACAGUAACUUCUUAUCCUGUGGAUGUUUCAUUGCAGUCAAGGGUGCCUCUCCUUUUCAAUAUCUGCUGGCUUUUCUUUGGAGGAAUUGUCAUAUGAUAUCUGCUAUUGUUGCUUGAAUGAUUCCUGUCUCAUGGGU
rnacentral:lncRNA from 1 species